CCUACGGGAGGCAGCAGUAAGGAAUAUUGGUCAAUGGACGAAAGUCUGAACCAGCCAUGCCGCGUGGAGGAUGAAGGUCCUCUGGAUUGUAAACUUCUUUUAUCUGGGAAGAAAAAAGGGAAUUCUUUCCCGUCUGACGGUACCAGAUGAAUAAGCACCGGCUAACUCCGUGCCAGCAGCCGCGGUAAUACGGAGGGUGCAAGCGUUAUCCGGAUUUACUGGGUUUAAAGGGUGCGUAGGUGGGUUGGUAAGUCAGUGGUGAAAUCUCCGAGCUUAACUUGGAAACUGCCGUUGAUACUAUCAAUCUUGAAUACCGUGGAGGUCAGCGGAAUAUGUCAUGUAGCGGUGAAAUGCUUAGAUAUGACAUAGAACACCAAUUGCGAAGGCAGCUGGCUACACGAAUAUUGACACUGAUGCACGAAAGCGUGGGGAUCAAACAGGAUUAGAUACCCUGGUAGUCCACGCCCUAAACUAUGGAUACUCGACAUACGCGAUACACUGUGUGUGUCUGAGCGAAAGCAUUAAGUAUCCCACCUGGGAAGUACGAUCGCAAGAUUGAAACUCAAAGGAAUUGACGG
rnacentral:rRNA from 1 species